rnacentral:misc_RNA from 1 species
UGGCUGUGUCACAUUCUCUGA